rnacentral:rRNA from 1 species
CAAUGGGCGAAAGCCUGACGGAGCAACGCCGCGUGAGUGAUAAAGGUCUUCGGAUCGUAAGACUCUGUUAUCAGGGAAGAACAGAUGUGUAUGUAACUGUGCACAUCUGACGGUACCUGAUCAGAGAGCCACGGCUAUCUACGUG